rnacentral:lncRNA from 1 species
ACGGAUUCAUUUUUCUCUCCUUUGCUUCUCACAACCUACAUGAGUAAAGGGAACAAUAAGCACUACAAAAGAAAUAUAUAUCCGAUAAUUAAGAUAUAUAAAUUGAUAGAACAGAAUGUGUAUUGGUGUUUAAAAUAUGUGUUGGAGAUUGCUAUAGAUGCUAGCCGGAAUGGUAUUCAUCUAAGCAAAUAUUUAGAUCAAGAUUAGCUGAACCAGUACCGGAUCCAUGCCGGUCGGCUAUCAAUUAGAUAUGGUACCGAUUCGAUAUGGAAUGAACUAGACAGUUCAUUCUACUUCAAUAGACUAUUUUCAAACCUUUUAAGAUAUUAAAAGAAGGGGGAAGCCGAACCUAUUCAAACCAGAGUUGUUUGCAUGGGUUCCGCUCCUUAAUGUCUGAUUCGAAGCAGUUCAAGCUAUUUUUCAAAAAAAAAAUAUAUAGAAUUGUGUCGACUCUUUGCCAAUUUGAUUUGGUAUAGGAUGAACUGAAUGGUUCGAUCCAAUUUGCCGACCAUAAUUUGCAUGAUACUAUUAAGUACAUGUGUAUCAAUUCAUCUAGAGUUUUUUUUCCUGGUAAGUGAUCAAUCUCGAUCCCCGCCAGCAUGGCAACAUCGAUGGGUCAAUCUCAGUCCCCACUAGCACUGAUGACAUAUAACUACUCUCCUUCCAGAUUGGACUAAAUCAUUACGGACAUCUAUCAAUGUUGAGGCAUCUAUUAGAUCUUUAAACUAGUUUGUAAUUGGUGAAGGUUAUGCCAUGCCAAUAGAAGAUCGAAGGCACCAGACUAGAAAGUAGAGGUUAAUGGAGAGUACACGCAUGCUAAAAUCAUAUCUACN